rnacentral:rRNA from 1 species
GAUGAACGCUGGCGGCGUGCCCAAUACAUGCAAGUCGAGCGAAUGGAUUAAGAGCUUGCUCUUAUGAAGUUAGCGGCGGACGGGUGAGUAACACGUGGGUAACCUGCCCAUAAGACUGGGAUAACUCCGGUAAACCGGGGCUAAUAGCGGAUAACAUUUUGAACCGCAUGGUUCGAAAUUGAAAGGCGGCUUCGGCUGUCACUUAUGGAUGGACCCGCGUCGCAUUAGCUAGUUGGGGAGGUAACGGCUCACCAAGGCAACGAUGCGUAGCCGACCUGAGAGGGUGAGCGGCCACACUGGGACUGAGACACGGCCCAGACUCCUACGGGAGGCAGCAGUAGGGAAUCUUCCGCAAUGGACGAAAGUCUGACGGAGCAACGCCGCGUGAGUGAUGAAGGCUUUCGGGUCGUAAAACUCUGUUGUUAGGGAAGAACAAGUGCUAGUUGAAUAAGCUGGCACCUUGACGGUACCUAACCAGAAAGCCACGGCUAACUACGUGCCAGCCGCCGCAGUAA